GGCGCCCGCGGACCUGCAGUGGGCGCAACAGAGCCCGUGUCACCCGGGCAACGGGAAUGUCCCGUGACGGGCGACCUCAGUCUAACUGCCUGCAAAAUGUGCUAAUCAGUGGAAAUGGAAUUAGAUAGAUGAUACUUUAAAGAUUUCAAAUAACAUAGUUCAUAUGUUUGUCAUUUAGUUCCUAGUUAAAAUUCUUCAAGAAAGAGUACAUAUAACUAAGUUUUGAUAAUAGUUUUAAGGCCAGCGGUGCAAGGGCUCUACAUAAGGUUUGACGUGACAUAAAGACGAUAUUAUUCGUUAUACAACACAGCUGCAGGAUGUCACACACGCUUUGAAUAAUUACUGUCAUGCAAACAUCGGGAACUGCGGAUAAAACGUGGCGGUUAAGAACCGCUUACAUUUCAUCGCAUAUGUCCCAGGGAUCCGUCAAGGCGUUUCAUCUCCGGGAAUUAGCGGAACCUGGAAAAGCUAUUGACGACGAUCACUGGAGAGUAACGCAACACAGCGUCAACCAAAAUACAAAGCGCAGCCUGUAUCUACCCAGGAGCCGGACAUCGGUCACACUCCGCUGAAACGUGUAACAUACUGCCACCUACUGGCGCCUGAUAGAAUACUUUGACAGCCUUGUAAAUACUGUAUUCAUUACAAUGCAACUGCAAAGAAGGGUUUAAACCUGGCUGAAGACCACGAGAACAAACCACCCUGUAGCAACUAAUAAUGUAACGACUCCAAAUAAUAACGUUAUUAGUUCAGAAAA